GAUGAAGAACGCAGCGAAAUGCGACAAGUAAUGUGAAUUGCAGAAUUCCGUGAAUCAUCGAAUCUUUGAACGCACAUUGCGCCCUCUGGUAUUCUGGAGGGCAUGCCUGUCCGAGCGUCAUUUCAACCCUCAAGCUCUGCUUGGUGUUGGGCCCUGCCCGCUGCGGCCGGCCCUAAAGACAGUGGCGGUGCCGCCUGGCCCUGAGCGUAGUACAUCUCUCGCUCCAGUGCCCGGUGGUAGCCUGCCAGAACCCCAACUCUCGUGGUUGACCUCGGAUCAGGUAGGGAUACCCGCUGAACUUAAGCAUAUCAAUAAGCGGAGGA
rnacentral:misc_RNA from 1 species